rnacentral:rRNA from 1 species
AUACGGAGGGUGCGAGCGUUAAUCGGAAUUACUGGGCGUAAAGCGUACGUAGGCGGUUGGUUAAGUUAGAUGUGAAAGCCCCGGGCUUAACCUGGGAACUGCAUUUAAAACUGGCGAACUAAAGUUGAGUAGAGGGGAGUGGAAUUUCAGGUGUAGCGGUGAAAUGCGUAGAGAUCUGAAGGAACACCAGUGGCGAAGGCGACUCCCUGGACUCGAACUGACGCUGAGGUACGAAAGCGUGGGUAGCAAACGGGAUUAGAAACCCGAGUAGUCC